AUUGAACGCUGGCGGCAUGCCUUACACAUGCAAGUCGAACGGCAGCACGGGAGCAAUCCUGGUGACGAGUGGCGGACGGGUGAGUAACGCGUAGGAAUCUGCCUUAAAGUGGGGGACAACCCGGGGGAAACUCGGGCUAAUACCGCAUGUGCCCUUCGGGGUAAAGCUGGGGAUCUUCGGACCUGGCGCUUUAAGAGGAGCCUGCGUUGGAUUAGCUAGUUGGUAGGGUAAAGGCCUACCAAGGCGACGAUCCAUAGCUGGUCUGAGAGGAUGAUCAGCCACACUGGAACUGAGACACGGUCCAGACUCCUACGGAGGCAGCAGUGGGAAUAUUGGACAAUGGGCGAAAGCCUGAUCCAGCAAUGCCGCGUGUGUGAAGAAGGCCUUAGGGUUGUAAAGC
rnacentral:rRNA from 1 species